rnacentral:rRNA from 1 species
UUGACGGUACCCUACUAGAAAGGAGCCGCUAACUUCGUGCCAGAAGCGUCGGUAAUACGGGGGCUCCAAGCGUUAUCCGGUGUUAUUGGGCGUAAAGAGUCGUGUAGGUGGUUGGGUAAGUUAUCUUUCAAAUAUCUUUGCUUAACAAAGAGGAGGGGGAUAAUACUGCUCGACUAGAAUUUUCUCAAGGGAGAUCGGAACUGAGGGAGGAGUAGUGAAAUGCGUUGAUACCCUCGGGAACACCAGUGGCGUAGGCGGAUCUCUGGGAGAAGAUUGACACUGAGACACGAAAGCUAGGGGAGCGAAGCAGAUUAGAGACCUGCGUAGUCCUAGCCGUAAACGCAUGCUUGCUAGCUGCAUGAAUCUACCUUCGGGUGGUAUCGUGUGGCGAAGGUAACCCGUUAAGCAAGCCGCCUGGAAAGUACGGCCGCAAGGCUGAAAUUCAAAGGAAUUGGCGGGGAGGCACACAACCAGUGGAACAUGUGGUUUAAUUCGAGACUAACCGAAGAACCUCACCAGGGUUUGACAUGUAGCUGCACGUCUUAAGAAAUUAAGACUCUCUUGAAGGUGCUACACAGGUGCUGCAUGGCUGUCGUCAGCUCGUUCCGUGAGGAGUGCCCUUAAGUGGGACAACGAGCGCAACCCCUAUUACAUGUUAGAAAUGUCAUGUAAGACCGCCUUGCCAUUUGGCGGGGAGGAAGGAGGGGCAGACGUCAAGUCCGCAUGGUCCUUAUGCCCUGGGCUACACACAUGUUACAAUGAGUACGGCAAUGAGUCUGUCGCGAGCACGUAAGUGUAAGCUAAUCUCUUAAAUGUACUCUCAGUGGGGAUUGAGGUCUGCAACUCGACCUCAUGAACACGGAAUUGGUAGUAAUCGCGGGUCAGCUAUACCGCGGUGAUACGUUCUUGCCUCUUGCACACACCGCCCGUCAAACCAGCAAAGU